AUUGAACGCUGGCGGCAGGCCUAACACAUGCAAGUCGAGCGAGCGGCGGACGGGUGAGUACUGUAUGGGGACUGCCCGAUAGAGGGGGAUAACUAAUGGAAACGCUGGCUAAGACUGCAUACAGUAGGAUAACGAAUAGGGGAUUAGCUAGUAGGUAAGGUAAUGGCUUACCCAGGCGACGAUCCCUAGCUGGUCUGAGAGGAUGAUCAGCCACACUGGGACUGAGACACGGUCCAGACUCCUACGGAGGCAGCAGUGGGGAAUAUUGCACAAUGGGCGCAAGCCUGAUGCAGCCAUGCCGCGUGUAUGAAGAAGGCCCUAGGGUUGUAAAGUACUUUCAGUCGGGAGGCGUUACCGACAGAAGAAGCACCGGCUAACUCCGUGCCAGCAGCCGCGGUAAUAC
rnacentral:rRNA from 1 species